GACGAACGCUGGCGGCGUGCUUAACACAUGCAAGUCGAACGGAAAGGCCCUGCUUUUGUGGGGUGCUCGAGUGGCGAACGGGUGAGUAACACGUGAGUAACCUGCCCUUGACUUUGGGAUAACUUCAGGAAACUGGGGCUAAUACCGGAUAGGGGCUCCUGCUGCAUGGUGGGGGUUGGAAAGUUUCGGCGGUUGGGGAUGGACUCGCGGCUUAUCAGCUUGUUGGUGGGGUAGUGGCUUACCAAGGCUUUGACGGGUAGCCGGCCUGAGAGGGUGACCGGCCACAUUGGGACUGAGAUACGGCCCAGACUCCUACGGGAGGCAGCAGUGGGGAAUAUUGCACAAUGGGCGGAAGCCUGAUGCAGCAACGCCGCGUGCGGGAUGACGGCCUUCGGGUUGUAAUCCGCUUUCGCCUGUGACGAAGCGUGAGUGACGGUAAUGGGUAAAGAAGCACCGGCUAACUACGUG
rnacentral:rRNA from 1 species